rnacentral:rRNA from 1 species
UGGGGAAAUUGGACAAUGGGCGGAAGCCUGAUCCAGCAACGCCGCGUGAGGGAUGACGGCCUUCGGGUUGUAAACCUCUUUCAGUACCGACGAAGCGAAAGUGACGGUAGGUACAGAAGAAGGACCGGCCAACUACGUGCCAGCAGCCGCGGUAAUACGUAGGGUCCGAGCGUUGUCCGGAAUUAUUGGGCGUAAAGGGCUCGUAGGCGGUUUGUCACGUCGGGAGUGAAAACAGCGGGCUUAACUCGUUGCUUGCUUUCGAUACGGGGCAGACUAGAGGUAUGCAGGGGAGAAUGGAAUUCCUGGUGUAGCGGUGAAAUGCGCAGAUAUCAGGAGGAACACCGGUGGCGAAGGCGGGUUCUCUGGGCAUUACCUGACGCUGAGAGCGAAAGUGUGGGGGAGCGAACAGGA